rnacentral:lncRNA from 1 species
ACAGGAGGUGAGAGGUUCAGGAGUUGACAUACAGGAUGUGGGCUGUAUUUCUUUCCCUUGGAAAAGGAGAGGUAACCGAAGAUAGAAAACAGGCCUAAAAAUAAAUCCCAGAAGGAAGACGAGAUUUGCCUACAUUUGUCUCUGAACUCUGGCAUCAUAAACCUUCACAAGGUGACUCAGAGGAGGCUGAUCACUGUGAACCCCCGAGGAGAAGGAAUCUCUGCCCCGCCCCCCCCCGCGCCGGCACACCGCACCUCUUGAGGAAAACCAUCGUUGACGUUCUUGGGAAAGAGGUGAACAGGCAGGUCCCAGCAGACACUUGGCAGUUCCUAUGA